GGGUUGUGAGGUUAAGCGACUAAGCGUACACGGUGGAUGCCCUGGCAGUCAGAGGCGAUGAAGGGCGUGCUAAUCUGCGAUAAGCGCCGGUAAGGUGAUAUGAACCGUUAUAACCGGCGAUACCCGAAUGGGGAAACCCAGUGUGAUUCGUCACACUAUCAUUAACUGAAUCCAUAGGUUAAUGAGGCGAACCGGGGGAACUGAAACAUCUAAGUACCCCGAGGAAAAGAAAUCAACCGAGAUUCCCCCAGUAGCGGCGAGCGAACGGGGAGGAGCCCAGAGCCUGAAUCAGCAUGUGUGUUAGUGGAAGCGUCUGGAAAGGCGCGCGAUACAGGGUGACAGCCCCGUACACAAAAGCGCAUGUGCUGUGAGCUCGAUGAGUAGGGCGGGACACGUGGUAUCCUGUCUGAAUAUGGGGGGACCAUCCUCCAAGGCUAAAUACUCCUGACUGACCGAUAGUGAACCAGUACCGUGAGGGAAAGGCGAAAAGAACCCCGGCGAGGGGAGUGAAAAAGAACCUGAAACCGUGUACGUACAAGCAGUGGGAGCACAGGUUUACCUGUGUGACUGCGUACCUUUUGUAUAAUGGGUCAGCGACUUAUAUUCUGUAGCAAGGUUAACCGAAUAGGGGAGCCGGAGGGAAACCGAGUCUUAACCGGGCGUUAAGUUGCAGGGUAUAGACCCGAAACCCGGUGAUCUAGCCAUGGGCAGGUUGAAGGUUGGGUAACACUAACUGGAGGACCGAACCGACUAAUGUUGAAAAAUUAGCGGAUGACCUGUGGCUGGGGGUGAAAGGCCAAUCAAACCGGGAGAUAGCUGGUUCUCCCCGAAAGCUAUUUAGGUAGCGCCUCGUGAAUUCAUCUCCGGGGGUAGAGCACUGUUUCGGCUAGGGGGCCAUCCCGGCUUACCAACCCGAUGCAAACUGCGAAUACCGGAGAAUGUUAUCACGGGAGACACACGGCGGGUGCUAACGUCCGUCGUGAAGAGGGAAACAACCCAGACCGCCAGCUAAGGUCCCAAAGUCAUGGUUAAGUGGGAAACGAUGUGGGAAGGCCCAGACAGCCAGGAUGUUGGCUUAGAAGCAGCCAUCAUUUAAAGAAAGCGUAAUAGCUCACUGGUCGAGUCGGCCUGCGCGGAAGAUGUAACGGGGCUAAACCAUGCACCGAAGCUGCGGCAGCGNNGUUGGGUAGGGGAGCGUUCUGUAAGCCUGUGAAGGUGGCCUGUGAGGGUUGCUGGAGGUAUCAGAAGUGCGAAUGCUGACAUAAGUAACGAUAAAGCGGGUGAAAAGCCCGCUCGCCGGAAGACCAAGGGUUCCUGUCCAACGUUAAUCGGGGCAGGGUGAGUCGACCCCUAAGGCGAGGCCGAAAGGCGUAGUCGAUGGGAAACGGGUUAAUAUUCCCGUACUUGGUGUUACUGCGAAGGGGGGACGGAGAAGGCUAUGUUGGCCGGGCGACGGUUGUCCCGGUUUAAGCGUGUAGGUGUGUGUUCCAGGUAAAUCCGGUUCACUUUAACACUGAGGCGUGAUGACGAGGCACUACGGUGCUGAAGUAACAAAUGCCCUGCUUCCAGGAAAAGCCUCUAAGCAUCAGGUAACAUCAAAUCGUACCCCAAACCGACACAGGUGGUCAGGUAGAGAAUACCAAGGCGCUUGAGAGAACUCGGGUGAAGGAACUAGGCAAAAUGGUGCCGUAACUUCGGGAGAAGGCACGCUGACACGUAGGUGAAGUGAUUUACUCAUGGAGCUGAAGUCAGUCGAAGAUACCAGCUGGCUGCAACUGUUUAUUAAAAACACAGCACUGUGCAAACACGAAAGUGGACGUAUACGGUGUGACGCCUGCCCGGUGCCGGAAGGUUAAUUGAUGGGGUCAGCGCAAGCGAAGCUCCUGAUCGAAGCCCCGGUAAACGGCGGCCGUAACUAUAACGGUCCUAAGGUAGCGAAAUUCCUUGUCGGGUAAGUUCCGACCUGCACGAAUGGCGUAAUGAUGGCCAGGCUGUCUCCACCCGAGACUCAGUGAAAUUGAACUCGCUGUGAAGAUGCAGUGUACCCGCGGCAAGACGGAAAGACCCCGUGAACCUUUACUAUAGCUUGACACUGAACAUUGAGCCUUGAUGUGUAGGAUAGGUGGGAGGCUUUGAAGCGUGGACGCCAGUCUGCGUGGAGCCGACCUUGAAAUACCACCCUUUAAUGUUUGAUGUUCUAACGUGGACCCGUGAUCCGGGUUGCGGACAGUGUCUGGUGGGUAGUUUGACUGGGGCGGUCUCCUCCUAAAGAGUAACGGAGGAGCACGAAGGUUGGCUAAUCCUGGUCGGACAUCAGGAGGUUAGUGCAAUGGCAUAAGCCAGCUUGACUGCGAGCGUGACGGCGCGAGCAGGUGCGAAAGCAGGUCAUAGUGAUCCGGUGGUUCUGAAUGGAAGGGCCAUCGCUCAACGGAUAAAAGGUACUCCGGGGAUAACAGGCUGAUACCGCCCAAGAGUUCAUAUCGACGGCGGUGUUUGGCACCUCGAUGUCGGCUCAUCACAUCCUGGGGCUGAAGUAGGUCCCAAGGGUAUGGCUGUUCGCCAUUUAAAGUGGUACGCGAGCUGGGUUUAGAACGUCGUGAGACAGUUCGGUCCCUAUCUGCCGUGGGCGCUGGAGAACUGAGGGGGGCUGCUCCUAGUACGAGAGGACCGGAGUGGACGCAUCACUGGUGUUCGGGUUGUCAUGCCAAUGGCACUGCCCGGUAGCUAAAUGCGGAAGAGAUAAGUGCUGAAAGCAUCUAAGCACGAAACUUGCCCCGAGAUGAGUUCUCCCUGAGACUUAGAGUCUCCUGAAGGAACGUUGAAGACGACGACGUUGAUAGGCCGGGUGUGUAAGCGCAGCGAUGCGUUGAGCUAACCGGUACUAAUGAACCGUGAGGCUUAAC
rnacentral:rRNA from 1 species